rnacentral:rRNA from 1 species
AUUGAACGCUGGCGGCAGGCCUAACACAUGCAAGUCGAACGAGUGGCGGACGGGUGAGUAAUGUAUGGGAAACUGCCCGAUGGAGGGGGAUAACUACUGGAAACGGUAGCUAAUACCGCAUACCAUCGGAUGUACCCAGAUGGGAUUAGCUAGUAGUUGGGGUAAUGGCUCAACUAGGCGACGCUCCCUAGCUGGUCUGAGAGGAUGAUCAGCCACACGGGGACUGAGACACGGUCCAGACGCCUACGGGAGGCAGCAGUGGGGAAUAUUGCACAAUGGGCGCAAGCCUGAUGCAGCCAUGCCGCGUGUAUGAAGAAGGCCUUCGGGUUGUAAAGUACUUUCAGCGGGGAGGCGUUACUCGCAGAAGAAGCACCGGCGAACUCCGUGCCAGCAGCCGCGGUAAUAC